rnacentral:rRNA from 1 species
UCAGGAUGAACGCUGGCGGCGUGCUUAACACAUGCAAGUCGAACGAAGCUCCCAAACCUGAGAUUCGUCAAGGGUGAGGGAUGACUUAGUGGCGGACGGGUGAGUAAUGCGUGAGCAACCUGCCCUUCAGAGGGGGACAACAGUUGGAAACGACUGCUAAUACCGCAUAAUGUAUCGAGAAGGCAUCUUCAUGAUACCAAAGAUUUAUCGCUGAAGGAUGGGCUCACGUCUGAUUAGCUAGUUGGUGAGGUAAUGGCUCACCAAGGCUGCGAUCAGUAGCCGGACUGAGAGGUUGACCGGCCACAUUGGGACUGAGGUACGGCCCAGACUCCUACGGGAGGCAGCAGUGGGGAAUAUUGGGCAAUGGGCGCAAGCCUGACCCAGCAACGCCGCGUGAAGGAAGAAGGCUUUCGGGUUGUAAACUUCUUUUGGCAGGGACGAAGAAAGUGACGGUACCUGCAGAAUAAGCUCCGGCUAACUACGUGCCAGCAGCCGC